UUAUCUUGUUGAUAGAAUAGUUAUUUGCAGUAUACUAACUGUUGGCAUACUCUAUUUCAGGACUAUCAAUUGUUUUUGUCACUGGCAGUCUUUGAAAUACAAUCUUGCUCUGUGGCCUUUACUGACAAGUUGGCUUUUACUACAUAUGUGGCACUGACACUUCUUUAAUUAAUGCACCAGUCAAUGUAAACCCCCCAACCAGGGAGGGGCAGGGAUUUUGACUUGGAGGGGUAGUAAAAGAGCGAAAUUGUCCCCGCCCCCAGGGACAUCAAUGUCCCCUGCAUGUCUCUCAACCCCAGGAAAAUAGUUUUGUAUAAUCAUAGAUCAGCAAUAGAAAAUCAAAUUCAUUUAUGUUGUUGUAUUUAAACUUUUCUUGUCAAGAAAACUAAAACAGCAACACAGGAUAUAUAUGUUAACCACUGUCCAAGUCUCCCAUCAUCGGGGACAAAUUUAUAAUCAAAACUGACCACUUUCCCCGCUAAACCUUCCACCCCUCCCCGGUUGGGGGCAGGGAUUUACAUUGACUGGUGCAUAACUAGAUGAUUGCAUGAAGCAUUGCAUGGAAGUUGAUUUAUAAUUAGUUUAUGAAUAAACUCACACUUUCAUUAUAAUGGUUCAGGGCUGAAAAUAAAUAUUUGACUUGACAGGACAUUUGUCCGAUCACUUUUAAUUUUGGUCGGACAUAACUUGAAUUGGGUCGGACAAAAACCAACAUCACUAAAUUUGGUCGGACAUACAUGUCACAAGAUAUUUAGAAGUCACGAGACAAGUAUGUAUGCCAUUCUGGCGC
rnacentral:lncRNA from 1 species